rnacentral:rRNA from 1 species
UACGGAGGGAGCUAGCGUUGUUCGGAAUUACUGGGCGUAAAGCGUACGUAGGCGGUUAUUCAAGUCAGAGGUGAAAGCCUGGAGCUCAACUCCAGAACUGUCUUUGAAACUAGAUAGCUAGGAUCUUGGAGAGGUGAGUGGAAUUCCGAGUGUAGAGGUGAAAUUCGUAGAUAUUCGGAAGAACACCAGUGGCGAAGGCGCCUCACUGGACAAGUAUUGACGCUGAGGUACGAAAGCGUGGGGAGCAAACAGG